UUUUAUUAAAAAAACCAAUAUUUUUCUGUUACUUUAUAUUAAAUUUAAAAUAAUUCAUUUAAUAAUAUAAUAUUUAAUAAUAUAUGUUGUUUUCAUAAUAUAUACAUUAUCGAUUGAUGUGGGAGAUCGAUUUGACUCAUAUUUUAAUUUAUGCAUACUUUCUAUUUUUAUGUAAAAGUAAUUACAAUUUGUGAAACAUGAAUUAAUAAUAAUUAGCUUUAUUAGUGUGAAAAACGCAAAGUUCAAAACGGUAUAUAUCGCAGAAGCACUCAUCUUGACGCGUGAAGUUAGCGCUAGAGAUGAUCAUCUCUGGCUCGAGCCAACUUAAUUCAGUUCUCUAUUCUAGGGGUUCACAUACCUUCCGGAACGGAACGGGACGCUGGGUUCACUUUCUUUCCGGAACGGACGGGGUUCACUUUCUUUCCGGAACGGAACAGGACACGAGAUAGAUCAGCUCCCGAUCGAGUUUUCUUAGCAAAUCAUCUAAUAGAACGCAACGAAUGUGGGACGACACGCCGCCGCAAGUGCUAGAACAAGUGCUAUCGCCAAGUAUUUAAUCGAACGCGACAGAUGUGGAACGAUCCGGCAGUGUAUAGAACGGCAUCGCAGAUCAUAAUUGUAUUAUCGUUGCUAACUAACGAUCCGCAGUUUCUGAGAGGAAGAGGAGGCCUAGGAGAGGCAUCGGGCAUCAGUGGAGCAACUUAGCGGUAAGCAUUAUUAUUUAUUUCUGUAAAAUUAAUUUUUUUUGUAUUUAUCAGUUUUAUUUCGAUAAUUAAAAGGUUUUAAUUAAAGAAUUAAAA